UACGGAGGGUGCGAGCGUUGUCCGGAAUCACUGGGCGUAAAGGGCGCGUAGGUGGCCUGUGGAAGUCUGCGGGGAAAGCCCGGCGCUCAACGCCGGGUCGGCCGUGGAUACUCUCGGGCUCGAGCUUACUAGAGGCAGAUGGAAUUCCGGGUGUAGCGGUGGAAUGCGUAGAGAUCCGGAAGAAAACCGGUGGCGAAGGCGGUCUGCUGGGGUAAUGCUGACACUGAUGCGCGACAGCGUGGGGAGCAACCAGG
rnacentral:rRNA from 1 species